AAAAAUCUUACUGUUAUAUUUGUAUCAAGAUUUGUAUAAGGGUUUUAUAACUUAUACAGCCAUUCUGCUCGAAAUGGUGUAGCAUUGGAAACAAUGGUACUACGAAUUGUAGCAACGCGAGAGUCGGCGUUUUAACAGGCUUGGCGGUCUCUUGAGUGGGUAUCUUAUGACAUUAAAAAUAGAAAGUAAGCUAUUAUGUCAGCUGUAGGGCAAGAGUUACAGUCGGUGAAAUUAAGCCGAAUAAGAUAAGU
rnacentral:sRNA from 12 species